rnacentral:rRNA from 1 species
AUUGAACGCUGGCGGCAGGCCUAACACAUGCAAGUCGAGCGGAGCUGUGGACGUGUUAGUCAUGCCUAGGAUUCUGCCUGUCAGUGUUGUAUAACGUCUGGUUACGGGCCCUAAUACCGCAUACUAUCAGAUGAUCCUAGGUCGAAUUAGCUAGUUGGUGGGUUAAAGGCCUACCAGGGCGACGAUCCGUAACUGGUCUGAGAGGAUGAUCAGUCAAACUGGAACUGAGACACGGUCAAGACUCCUACGGGAGGCAGAAGUGGGGAAUAUUGGACAAUGGGCGAAAGCCUGAUCCAGCCAUGCCGCGUGUGGGAAGAAGGUAGGCGGAUUGUAAAGCACUUUAAAUUGGGAGGCGGUACCAACAGAAUAAGCACCGGCUAACUUCGUGCCAGCAGCCGCGGUAAUUA